rnacentral:rRNA from 1 species
GACUAGGACACAGGUGCUGCAUGGCUGUCGUCAGCUCGUGUUGUGAAAUGUUGGGUUAAGUCCCGCAACGAGCGCAACCCUUAUCCUUUGUUGCCAGCGGUUCGGCCGGGAACUCAAAGGAGACUGCCAGUGAUAAACUGGAGGAAGGUGGGGAUGACGUCAAGUCAUCAUGGCCCUUACGAGUAGGGCUACACACGUGCUACAAUGGCAUAUACAAAGAGAAGCGACCUCGCGAGAGCAAGCGGACCUCAUAAAGUAUGUCGUAGUCCGGAUUGGAGUCUGCAACUCGACUCCAUGAAGCCGGAAUCGCUAGUAAUCGUAGAUCAGAAUGCUACGGUGAAUACGUUCCCGGGCCUUGUACACACCGCCCGUCACACCACGGGAGUGGGUUGCAAAAGAAGUAGGUAGCUUAACCUUCGGGAGAGCGCUUACCACUUUGUGAUUCAUGACUGGGGUGAAGUCGUAACAAGGUAACCGUAGGGGAACCUGCGGCUGGAUCACCUCCUUA